rnacentral:rRNA from 1 species
AGUGGCGAACGGGUGAGUAAUACAUAAAUAAUCUGCCCAUAUGACUGGGAUAACUAUUGGAAACGAUAGCUAAUACCGGAUAGGUUGAUCGGAGGCAUCUCUGAUGAAUUAAAGUAGGAUUUCUACACAAAUGGAUGAGUUUAUGGCGCAUUAGUUAGUUGGUGGGGUAACGGCCUACCAAGACGAUGAUGCGUAGCCGACCUGAGAGGGUGACCGGCCACACUGGGACUGAGACACGGCCCAGACUCCUACGGGAGGCAGCAGUAGGGAAUUUUCGGCAAUGGGCGCAAGCCUGACCGAGCAACGCCGCGUGAGUGAUUAAGGCCUUCGGGUUGUAAAGCUCUGUUGUAAGGGAAGAACAUUCAGGAUAGGAAAUGAUCUCGAACUGACGGUACCUUACCAGAAAGCCACGGCUAACUACAUGCCAGCAGCCGCGGUAAUACGUAGGUGGCAAGCGUUAUCCGGAAUUAUUGGGCGUAAAGGGUGCGUAGGCGGUUUAUUAAGUCUAUGGUGAAAGUGCGGGGCUCAACCCCGUAUGGCCAUAGAAACUGGUAGACUUGAGUGCAGGAGAGGGCAAUGGAAUUCCAUGUGUAGCGGUAAAAUGCGUAGAUAUAUGGAGGAACACCAGUGGCGAAGGCGGUUGCCUGGCCUGUAACUGACGCUGAAGCACGAAAGCGUGGGGAGCGAAUAGGAUUAGAUACCCUAGUAGUCCACGCC